rnacentral:rRNA from 1 species
UAGUCCUACGGGGGGCAGCAGUGGGGAAUAUUGGGCAAUGGGCGCAAGCCUGACCCAGCAACGCCGCGUGAAGGAAGAAGGCUUUCGGGUUGUAAACUUCUUUUCUCAGGGACGAAGCAAGUGACGGUACCUGAGGAAUAAGCCACGGCUAACUACGUGCCAGCAGCCGCGGUAAUACGUAGGUGGCAAGCGUUAUCCGGAUUUACUGGGUGUAAAGGGCGUGUAGGCGGGAAAGCAAGUCAGAUGUGAAAACCAUGGGCCAACCUGGGGGCCUGAAUU